GGCAGGGUAGCUCAGCCGGUUAGAGCGCAGCACUCAUAAUGCUGAGGUCGGGGGUUCGAGUCCCCCUCCUGCUA
rnacentral:tRNA from 1 species